AGUGAACGCUGGCGGUAGGCCUAACACAUGCAAGUCGAACGGCAGCACAGAGGAGCUUGCUCCUUGGGAGGCGAGUGGCGGACGGGUGAGGAAUACAUCGGAAUCUACUCUGUCGUGGGGGAUAACGUAGGGAAACUUACGCUAAUACCGCAUACGACCUACGGGUGAAAGCAGGGGACCUUCGGGCCUUGCGCGAUUGAAUGAGCCGAUGUCGGAUUAGCUAGUUGGCGGGGUAAAGGCCCACCAAGGCGACGAUCCGUAGCUGGUCUGAGAGGAUGAUCAGCCACACUGGAACUGAGACACGGUACAGACUCAGACGGGAGGCAGCAGUGGGGAAUAUUGGACAAUGGGCGCAAGCCUGAUCCAGCCAUACCGCGUGGGUGAAGAAGGCCUUCGGGUUGUAAAGCCCUUUUGUUGGGAAAGAAAUCCAGCUGGCUAAUACCCGGUUGGGAUGACGGUACCCAAAGAAUAAGCACCGGCUAACUUCGUGCCAGCAGCCGCCGUAA
rnacentral:rRNA from 1 species